rnacentral:lncRNA from 1 species
AAAUACAAAAAAUUAGCCAGGCAUGGUGGCGGGUGGAUCACGAGGUCAGGAGAUCGAGACCACGGUGAAAUGAAACCCCGUCUCCACUAAAAAUACAAAAAAUUAGCCAGGCGCAGUGGCGGGCGCCUGUAGUCCCAGCUACUCGGGAGGCUGAGGCAGGAGAAUGGUGUGAACCCGGAAGGCGGAGCUUGCAGCCAGCGGAGAUCGCGCCACAGCACUCCAGCCUGGGCGACAAAACGAGACUCCGUCUCAAAAAAAAAACAAAAAACAUAUCUGCAAAUUUUUUAAACAUUCCCCUCUAUAUGACCCCUACCCUCGAAUCCGAGCUGGCCUUAGUGACUCUGCAAGACUUCUGAGGAUUGGCCAUAAAAAGGGAU